CUACCAUGGCAGUCACGGGUAACGGAGAAUUAGGGUUCGAUUCCGGAGAGGGAGCCUGAGAAACGGCUACCACAUCUACGGAAGGCAGCAGGCGCGAAAAUUGCCCAAUCCUGACACGGGGAGGCAGUGACAAGAAAUAACAACUCUAGGUUUUCUUAGAAGUGUAAUGAGGAUAAUUUACAAACCUUACCGAAUGCAAUUGGAGGGCAAGUCUGGUGCCAGCAGCCGCGGUAAUUCCAGCUCCAAUAGCGUAUAUUAAAGUUGUUGCAGUUAAAAAGCUCGUAGUUGAAGUUCUGAUUGUUCGGGUUUCUAGACAUUAGUCGGAGAUACUGACAGUCAUCCGCUUGCAAACAUAUGUUCGAUCUUUACCGGUUGGCUAUGUGAGUAAGCAUUUUACCUUGAGAAAAACAGAGUGUUCCAGGCAGGUUUGUCCGGAAUGCAUUAGCAUGGAAUAAUAGAAUAUGACUGAAGUCUAUUUAUUGGUUACAGGCUUUAGUAAUGAUUAAUAGGAACAGUCGGGGGCAUUCGUACUCAGCAGUCAGAGGUGAAAUUCUAAGAUUUGCUGAAGACGAACUAAUGCGAAAGCAUUUGCCAAGGAUGUUUUCAUUAAUCAAGAACGAAAGUUAGGGGAUC
rnacentral:rRNA from 1 species